rnacentral:rRNA from 1 species
GACGAAGGGGGCUAGCGUUGUUCGGAAUUACUGGGCGUAAAGCGCGUGUAGGCGGCCGUUCAAGUCGGGUGUGAAAGCCUUGAGCUCAACUCAAGAAUUGCACUCGAUACUGGAUGGCUCGAGAACCGGAGAGGAUAGUGGAAUUCCCAGUGUAGUGGUGAAAUACGUAGAGAUUGGGAAGAACACCAGUGGCGAAGGCGGCUAUCUGGACGGUUUCUGACGCUGAGACGCGAAAGCGUGGGGAGCAAAC